ensembl:lncRNA
UAGCUCAAGUCAGGGGAGGUGUAGCUCAAGUCAGGGGAGGUGUAGCUCAAGUCAGGGGAGGUGUAGCUCAAGUCAGGGGAGGUGUAGCUCAAGCCAGGGGAGGUGUAGCUCAAGCCAGGGGAGGUGUAGCUCAAGCCAGGGGAGGUGUAGCUCAAUUCAGGGGAGGUGUAGCUCAAGUCAGGGGAGGCGUAGCUCUACGAAAAGUAAUUGCACAAAUUGCCUAUUAAUUGGCAGAGAAUGCUAUUUAUAUACUGAACAAAAAUAUAAAGGCAACAUGUAAAGUGUUGUUCCAAUUUUUCACGAGCUGAAAUAAAAGAUUCCAGAAAUGUUCCAUACACACACAAAAAAAGCUUAUUUCUCUCAUUUUGUGCACAAAUUUGUUUACAUACCUGUUAGUGAGCAUUUCUCCAUUGCCAAGACAAUUCAUCCACCUGACAGGUGUGGCAUCUCAAGAAGCGGAUUAAACAGCACGAUCAUCACACAGGUGCACCUUGUGCUGGGGACAAUAAAAGGCCACUCUAAAAUGUGCAGUUUUGUCACACAACACAACGCUACAGAUGUCUCAAGUUUUGAGGGAGUGUGCAAUUGGCAUGCUGACUGCAGGAAUAUCUACCAGAGUUGUUGCCAGAUAAUUGAAUGUUAAUUUCUGUACCAUAUGCCACCUCCAACGUCGUUCUUGAGAAUUUGGCGGAACGUCCGACCAGCCUCACACCCGCAGACCAUGUAUAAACGUGUUCACCUGCAGGAUUGAGACCAGCCACCUGGACAGCUGAUGAAACUGAGUAUUUCUGUCUAUAAUAAAGCCCUUU